UCGUAACAAGGUCUCCGUUGGUGAACCAGCGGAGGGAUCAUUACCGAGUUUACAACUCCCAAACCCCUGUGAACAUACCACUUGUUGCCUCGGCGGAUCAGCCCGCUCCCGGUAAAACGGGACGGCCCGCCAGAGGACCCCUAAACUCUGUUUCUAUAUGUAACUUCUGAGUAAAACCAUAAAUAAAUCAAAACUUUCAACAACGGAUCUCUUGGUUCUGGCAUCGAUGAAGAACGCAGCAAAAUGCGAUAAGUAAUGUGAAUUGCAGAAUUCAGUGAAUCAUCGAAUCUUUGAACGCACAUUGCGCCCGCCAGUAUUCUGGCGGGCAUGCCUGUUCGAGCGUCAUUUCAACCCUCAAGCACAGCUUGGUGUUGGGACUCGCGUUAAUUCGCGUUCCCCAAAUUGAUUGGCGGUCACGUCGAGCUUCCAUAGCGUAGUAGUAAAACCCUCGUUACUGGUAAUCGUCGCGGCCACGCCGUUAAACCCCAACUUCUGAAUGUUGACCUCGGAUCAGGUAGGAAUACCCGCUGAACUUAAGCAUA
rnacentral:rRNA from 1 species